rnacentral:rRNA from 1 species
GGGCCCGCACAAGCGGUGGAGUAUGUGGUUUAAUUCGAUGCAACGCGAAGAACCUUACCAGGGUUUGACAUCCUGCGAAUCUCUUGGAAACGAGAGAGUGCCUUCGGGAACGCAGUGACAGGUGGUGCAUGGCUGUCGUCAGCUCGUGUCGUGAGAUGUUGGGUUAAGUCCCGCAACGAGCGCAACCCACGUCUUUAGUUGCCAGCACAUUAUGGUGGGAACUCUAACGAAACUGCCAGUGCAAACUGUGAGGAAGGUGGGGAUGACGUCAAAUCAUCACGGCCCUUACGUCCUGGGCUACACACGUGCUACAAUGGCCGGUACAGAGAGCAGCCACUUCGCAAGAAGGAGCGAA